CAUUCAGUCAUACCACCCUGUCUUGUUCCUUAACAUUGAUCAGUUAAUCAAUGAAUCACUCAUUAUUUGGUACCUACUCUGUGCUAGGCACUGGGUUAGAAGCAGGGACAGAGGCUGAACUAUGAAGUAAAGCAGCAUGUUUUGAGCCCUCUGUGUAUCCUCACUCUCUGAAUCUACCCCUCUCUCCUUGUCCCCCUUUCUUCUGAUCUGUUGUUCCCUGCGUGUAUCAUAAAGCUG
rnacentral:lncRNA from 1 species